rnacentral:tRNA from 1 species
GACCUCGUAGUGAAGUUCAUGUUGAGUUGCAAGCUCAUUGAUGUGUGUUGAGAGCACACCGGGGUUU